CGCUGGCAAAGCGGGACUGCAGCAGCCCAGCAGCUGGCAGGGAGAAGCGGGAAGAGUGUUUCAGUGGAGGGGCAGCCGUGUGUCACGGUGACAGUUCUGCCCUUCUCAAGGUGUUCCAGGGCUCCUGGAGCAGCCAGUGGAAGUGUUUGGAUAACAGGGUGUGAGGGAAACUCAGGGCUAAGUGUGGUUGUCUGCAGUGCUGAGACCCACAGACCCCCCUGAGCCAAAGGAACACGUGGGGUGUUCCCAGGAACAGGACAGGGACAGCCUCACCCACAACCAGCAGUUCCCAAAGGAGUCACCAAUUUAAUGCCAGAAUUAAGACAUCAGAACAGAAGGGGGGGGAGAACUGAUUAGCAGGGCUGACACUGAACCCACAGGCACAGCUCAGGUCUGUCCCUUUAAAUCAAAUUGGCUUUGAAUUAAUUAACCCAUCUGAAUUAAUGGGUUUCCUCAACUAGGAAGCAUCACCAUGCUUGUUACCAGAGGGAUUUGCCAAUAUUCCUAUGGAAAGCACCAGUUAGUGGAUGCACUGGGUGUGAGGGACAAGGUUUGGGCAGUGAGGGCUCUGGGUCUGCCCCGUGCUGGCUCCCCCUGAGCCCACCCAGGGAGCUCGUGGCACCUCCAAACUAAGCUACAGAGUUGUUGGUGCCUCUGUGAGAUAUUAAAACCCACAGAGGCAGGUUAAAUAAAAAAGCAAACAAAACCAAAGGCAAACUGUGAAAAGAGCAGUGCAAGUGUCAGAGGAGGAGAGGGAGGUGCUCCAGGCACUGGAGCAGGGAAUGAACAGAGGAGGAAGGAGUGGCAGACAGGAACUGCUGCAGAUCCUCUGACUUUGCCAGUUCAUGUUGAAACUCAGCUCUUUCUUCACACAAUCUGUGGUUUCUCACCGUACCUGAGUGUCUUUUCUGCCCUUGUGAUUUUGAAAUGGGCAGCCUUGGAGAGCAGAUCUCUUGGGAAGUGUCCACUUUGACAGGUUGCUUCCCAGGAUAAUCCAGGAUCAAAUCCAGGUCGUCGUCAUCAGCAAGCAAGGAAGCUUUCAUGAUCUGAGGACGUGGGAAGCCAAGGCAGCACAUCAGCAAUCCCUCUCACUGCAGCAGUUCCCUGAGCUCAUCAAAAUAGCUCUUCCCACCCAAAAUAACUCCCACAUGCAGCACAUGACCAAACAACACACUCAUGGAUGCAAAUAUUCCAAGAAACAGUGGAGGCACAGCUCAGGAUGUCACCUGAUGACAGGGUUUUACAACUACUAGUUAAACUACUGUGGACUUGUUAGGGAAGGGAGUGACAUCCCAAAAAUAAUCCUGAUUUCUUAGAUCUUA